GACGAACGCUGGCGGCGUGCCUAAUACAUGCAAGUUGAGCGCUGAAGGUUGGUACUUGUACCAACUGGAUGAGCAGCGAACGGGUGAGUAACGCGUGGGGAAUCUGCCUUUGAGCGGGGGACAACAUUUGGAAACGAAUGCUAAUACCGCAUAAAAACUUUAAACACAAGUUUUAAGUUUGAAAGAUGCAAUUGCAUCACUCAAAGAUGAUCCCGCGUUGUAUUAGCUAGUUGGUGAGGUAAAGGCUCACCAAGGCGAUGAUACAUAGCCGACCUGAGAGGGUGAUCGGCCACAUUGGGACUGAGACACGGCCCAAACUCCUACGGGAGGCAGCAGUAGGGAAGCUUCGGCAAUGGACGAAAGUCUGACCGAGCAACGCCGCGUGAGUGAAGAAGGUUUUCGGAUCGUAAAACUCUGUUGGUAGAGAAGAACGUUGGUGAGAGUGGGAAGCUCAUCAAGUGACGGUAACUACCCAGAAAGGGACGGCUAACUACGUG
rnacentral:rRNA from 1 species